GACGUAGGUGGCAAACGUUAUCCGGAAUUACUGGGCGUAAAGGGUCCGCAGGCGGCGCGGAAAGUCGGACGUGAAAGCUCCCAGCUUAACUGGGAGAAGCCGUUCGAAACUACCGGGCUAGAAUCGAGCAGAGGUCGGUGGAAUUCCUGGUGUAGUGGUGGAAUGCGUAGAGAUCAGGAGGAACGCCAAAAGCGCAGGCAGCCGGCUGGGCUCAGAUUGACGCUGAGGGACGAAAGCGUGGGGAGCGAACAGG
rnacentral:misc_RNA from 1 species